UUUAAACAGUCAGCUGGAGCCAGUCGUUUCCAGCCCGAUCUGUCCCUGGUUGUGCUUCGGAACACCGUCUCCUGUUCCCUCCUGCGCGCAGCGGCAGCAGCAUUUUGUCUCUGCAGAAGCGCGGCUCGGAGCCCUUCUACUGAAGCCCAAGCCCCGAGCCGGCGCUUUAUUGGUGCUGGCCCUGCCCGCCGGGUUAGAGGGCUAAUGGGAGCCGCAAGCAUAUUCUGCGGGCGCCUGGCGCGGCUGACUCGGUUGGCCCUGCGCUGAGAAAGCCCGUGGCACCGUUUCCAUGUCCGAAGGGCCGCAACGCCUGGAUCCGAGUCAGGCUAGAGAGUUAGACCGGAGUUGUAUUCACUGGGACUUCAUAUUGCAACCGGGGCUGAACCGUGGGAAUCUGUUUUCGAAGACGCUCGCGCUUCCUGAGGCAGCCUGGUUAGUCUUUGCAAGCUUACUCGGAAGUAAGUGACAUUAAAUUCAAAGGGACUCGCAGCUGAAGCCUUCGCUUGGAAUCCAUUUCCCACAGAAACCAAAGAGAUUAGGAACAGCAGAAGGAAAGCGACCCCUUUCAGCGUCCAGCCGACUCUCAGCUGUCCCCGUCGCUUAGGUCUGGUGUUUUGUUGAUCUUUAACAUUCUGAGCAAAAAACCUCGGCAGCGAAGAGAGAAAAAGACGAAGAAGAAGAAGAAAGAGAAAAGGAGUCCGGGAAAGGACGUUCUCUGAAAGACUCAGGAGGAACCUCGGGGUGUGUGGAGAACUCUCUCGCUUUCCUCCCUCCGUCCAAGCGGGUCCAGGAAACGUCUUUCCUUUUCAAAUGCAAUUACUUUCUUUAAUAAGCCACGUGCCAGACAGGCUAAAACUGUUGCCAUCAUUCGGGUUCAUUUGAUUCUAUUAAACUCAAGCUGGGUGGAAUUCAACAUAUUAGUGAAGCGUUUGAGAGAACUAACUGGAUUUGGGCUGGUGUAAAAGACCUACAGAGGGACCCUGGGGGAGAAGAAGCUGGGAGAGCCCUUGCUUGCAUUCCACAGGCAGCCCCCAAGGGGGGAGGGAGUCGCCUCGGUGCCAUCCCCCCCCCCCCGGUAAUUAAUUAGUAGUCAAAAACUCCAAGAACAAUUAUGUGUUCUGCAGUUUACCUUCUCUCCCCCUCCCAAUGUUUUCUUUGCUCUAAUUUUCUCUGAUGAUGGACCCAGCGAUGAUGGCUCCAGAAUUUUAUUUAUUUCUGUUUGUUUAAUGACUAAAAUUAUUUUCCCUAGGAGGAAGAAGUUAACAACAAUUUAAUUAUUUCUUGAGACAGGACAUUAAUGCCUCCUGACCUCCCAGCAUUAAUUUCAAGGGAGGCAAAGUGAUUAGGUAGGCUCCAGACGACAAGACACGCAUAUCUGGCCUGUAGCAAAGCGGUUCUCAGGGUUUCUAAUAAGAACACGCACAAUAA